rnacentral:rRNA from 1 species
CGCAGCCGCGGUAAUUCCAGCUCCAAUAGCGUAUAUUAAAGUUGUUGCAGUUAAAAAGCUCGUAGUUGAAUUUCGGGAUCAAGUCGUCGGUCGUGCCUCGGUACGCACUGGUGACAUUGGUUUCUCCCUUCUGAAGAACCUUGAUGUCAUUAAUUUGGUGUCUUGGGGAAUCAGGACUGUUACUUUGAAAAAAUUAGAGUGUUUAAAGCAGGCUCACGCUUGAAUACAUUAGCAUGGAAUAAUGAAAUAGGACGUUUGAUUCUAUUUUGUUGGUUUCUAGGAUCGACGUAAUGAUUAAUAGGGAUAGUUGGGGGCAUUAGUAUUCAAUUGUCAGAGGUGAAAUUCUUGGAUUUAUUGAAGACUAACUACUGCGAAAGCAUUUGCCAAGGAUGUUUUCAUUAAUCAAGAACGAAAGUUAGGGGAUCGAAGACGAUCAGAUACCGUCGUAGUCUUAACCAUAAACUAUGCCGACUAGGGAUCGGAUGAUGUUAAUUUUUUAAUGUACUCAUUCGGCGCCUUA